GUAUUCCUUAAAAAUCUAUGAAAUAUUUUCAGAUGAAUCAAAUGUUUAUCAAAAUCUUUACAAAUGACACCCGGAAUAUUUUCUGCUAUAUGUAAAGAAUGAAAAAAAUACAACGCAUGCUCCAACUCAAAAUUGCAAAAAAUCAGUAGCUCCACGCCUCAAAAGAACAGAAAACAGAAAAGGGAGACAGCGAGAGAGCGAGAAAGGGAGACAGUACAGUAAAGCCACCCUAACUAGGAGAUGUUACAACUUCACACUAAAGCAUUGAAAAAGUGAGGCAGCCAACGCCAGAGGAACCAGGACAUUGGCACCAAGCGGCAGCCAGGAGACAUCGAAUAGAGCCCAGCAUGAGGCCAAAAGCCGUUGGCCCGUAGGCAACGCGGCAGCACCAAAAGGCUGCCCAAUUUGGCUUAAAAUUACGCUACACUGAUCAAAGGCAGCUGCGCCCGAUAGCGAGGAGCGAUGACGAUGUCGGGCUGUCGGAAUGCCGGGCUGACGGCCCGAUGUCGGGCUGACGGACUGAUGAGAUGCGAGGCCAAGCAAAAGUGCAGUGACGUGUGGAUGGUUGGCUACGGGCGGAGAGAGUCGAGCUGAGGCAGUGGCCCGUCAAUACAAGCGAUAAGCCUCAUCUAUGUCUUUGACUGGCUGCUAUUGAUCUCACCUGAGCAGCAACAGCGAUAGCGACAGCAACAUUACCUGUGAUCUAUUUUACACGGCAGCGCUCCAGAUAUCUCAGCCUCUCAACUACCACGGUCUGGCUUGUCAAUUGGGCGGACAACGAAAUUGUUAUGCUUAUUACACUGGCACAGCUACCGAAAUGUUGGAACUCUCACUCUCCCUCUCUCUUCCUCUCUCUGUGUCAUACUCCAUCUACCUAUGCCUCAGAGACGAGAGAGUUCUCGCGUUGUAGGAGUAUGCGGUGCACUUUGAGUUUAGUUGCCGACCGUCGGGGAUUAUCUCUUUAUCAGACUUAAUCUCAAGUAGUUAAUAAAGUGCGAUGCUUUGUACUUUAACCGCUGCCAUUGUUCGGCGCUGUCUCUGUCCAGUGGCCAAAGAAGAGGACGCUGCCGCGUUUCGAUGAGUGUGCUUCGAUGCAGAUAAUCGUUUGUGGUAUGCCGAAAAGAUCUGAAUAUGCAUUACCAAAAAAAAAAAAAAAAAAAAACAGAAG